rnacentral:tRNA from 1 species
UCCCUGGUGGCUCAGACGGUAAAGCGUCUGCCUGCAAGGCAGGAGACCCGGGUUCAAUUCCUGGGUUGGGAA